rnacentral:lncRNA from 1 species
ACGCCGCGGAUCCGCCCGCCGGGCCGGGCUGCCCUCCUCCAGGAGAGGGAGGUGCACGAUUGGCUCCGCUUCGGGGCCAAGGCCCUGCUCCCUUUUUGCACGGGGACCGAGCGUGUCGGCCGAAGUGAUCCAAGCCGGGUGGGAAAGACUGCAGAGAGGCUGCUGGGUUGGGCCGCUGGCUGAGGAGGGUAAUGAACUGAACCCACCCGCCAGUGCCGCCACUCACUCCCCUCCUGAAUCCCGAGACAGGAGGGAGGCCUUGGUCAGCACUGGACAACUGCGGCAGCCCGGACAGUAACCAGAGGUGGCCACCGCCCCGAUAUACGGGUUUGCUGCUGGCCUCUUCCCCCCACCCUACAGGAUGGUAUGAAAUUUGAAAGAAGACGAUGCAUACAGGAUGAAGAGAUGGCCCUGGGUCUUCCUCUGAAUGCCCAGCCGGACUCUGCCCUUCCUCCAUUUCUUCCACAGCCACCGGAGCCACAUUCCCACUCCCUGUCAGCUGCUCAAUCUCCCCCUCAGAAUCAGACUCUCAACAAGGGCAUGACAAUGAAUGCCAAAAGAUAG